GACAGAGGUCCCGAGCGUUAGGCGGAAUCACUGGGCUUAAAGCGUGUGUAGGCGGAUCGUUAAGUGCCUUGUGAAAUCCCACGGCUUAACCGUGGAACUGCUUGGCAUACUGGCGGUCUUGAGCCACCUAGGGGCAACCGGAACAAAUGGUGGAGCGGUGAAAUGCGUAGAUAUCAUUUGGAACGCCAAUGGUGAAAACAGGUUGCUGGGGGUGUGCUGACGCUGAGACACGAAAGCCAGGGGAGCGAACGGG
rnacentral:rRNA from 1 species